rnacentral:rRNA from 1 species
UCAAGUGACUAAGUGUAUGUGGUGGAUGCCUUGGCGAUCACAGGCGAUGAAGGACGUAGUAGCUUGCGAUAAGCUGCGGGGAGCCGGCAAACGGGCUUUGAUCCGCAGAUUUCCGAAUGGGGGAACCCACCGACGUAGGUCGGUAUCACGCACUGAAUACAUAGGUGCGUGAGGCGAACGGAGCGAACUGAAACAUCUAAGUAGCUCCAGGAAAAGAAAUCAACCGAGAUUGCGAAAGUAGCGGCGAGCGAAAUUGCAGCAGCCCAGUGUUCUGAUAGCACGAACGACAGCAGAAGGGUCUGGAAAGGCCCGCUAUAGAGGGUGAUAGCCCCGUAUGCGAAAUCGGACGUGUGGUACUAAGGAACCGAUAAGUAGGGCGGGACACGUGACAUCCUGUCUGAAGAUGGGGGGACCAUCCUCCAAGGCUAAAUACUCGUGAUCGACCGAUAGUGAACCAGUACUGUGAAGGAAAGGCGAAAAGAACCCCGGGAGGGGAGUGAAAUAGAACCUGAAACCGCAUACAUACAAACAGUAGGAGCCCCUGCAGUGGGGUGACUGCGUACCUUUUGCAUAAUGGGUCAGCGACUUACGUUUUGUGGCGAGCUUAACCGAGUAGGGGAGGCGUAGCGAAAGCGAGUUCGAAUAGAGCGACAAGUCUCAAGGCGUAGACCCGAAACCAGAUGAGCUAUCCAUGGCCAGGUUGAAGGUGUGGUAACACACACUGGAGGACCGAACCGACUAGUGUUGCAAAAUUAGCGGAUGAGCUGUGGAUAGGGGUGAAAGGCUUAACAAAUCUGGAGAUAGCUGGUUCUCCCCGAAAACUAUUGAGGUAGUGCCUCGUGUAUUGCUCCAGGGGGUAGAGCACUGUUAUGGCUAGGGGGACAUGGCGUCUUACCAAACCAUGGCAAACUCCGAAUACUUGGAAGUAAGAGCACGGGAGACAGAGCACCGGGUGCUAACGUCCGGACUCAAGAGGGAAACAACCCAGACCGCCGUUUAAGGUCCCAAAUAUUGACUAAGUGGAAAACGAAGUGUGAAGGCUAAGACAGUCAGGAAGUUGGCUUAGAAGCAGCCAUCCUUCAAAGAAAGCGUAAUAGCUCACUGAUCGAGUCCUCAUGCGCGGAAGAUGUAACGGGGCUAAGUCAAUAACCGAAAGCGCGGAUUUGCAUGAAAAUGCAAGUGGUAGGGGAGCGUUCUGUAAGCCUGCGAAGGUGGUUCGAGAGGACUGCUGGAGGUAUCAGAAGUGCGAAUGCUGACAUGAGUAACGUUAAAGCGGGUGAAAAGCCCGCUCGCCGUAAGCCCAAGGUUUCCUGCUCUACGUUCAUCGGAGCAGGGUGAGUCGGCCCCUAAGGCCAGGCUGAGAAGCGUAGUCGAUGGGAAGCAGAUUAAUAUUUCUGCACCAUGUGCAAGUGCGAUGGGGGGACGGAGUGCGAAAGAUCAUCCGGGUGUUGGAUGUCCCGGUUUGUGAGUGUAGAAGGCCGACAGGCAAAUCCGUCGGCGGAUCUUCGAGACAAAGCAUCGAGGUUCUACGGAACCGAAGUGAUCGGAAGUGCUUCCAGGAAAAGCCUCUAAGCUUCAGCUUGUACAUGACCGUACCGUAAACCGACACUGGUGGGCGAGUUGAAUAUACUCAGGCGCUUGAGAGAACUCGGGAGAAGGAACUCGGCAAAUUGACACCGUAACUUCGGGAUAAGGUGUGCCUUUGUAGCGUGAAGAGAGAAACACUCGGAGCGUGAAGAGGCCUCAGAGAAUCGGUGGCUGCAACUGUUUAUUAAAAACACAGCACUCUGCAAAGACGAAAGUCGACGUAUAGGGUGUGAUGCCUGCCCGGUGCUGGAAGAUUAAGUGAUGGGGUGAGAGCUCCUGAUCGAAGUCCCAGUAAACGGCGGCCGUAACUAUAACGGUCCUAAGGUAGCGAAAUUCCUUGUAUAAUGAUGGCCACACUGUCUCCUCCCGAGACUCAGUGAAGUUGAAAUGUUUGUGAUGAUGCAAUCUCCCCGCGGCUAGACGGGAAGACCCCAUGAACCUUUACUGUAGCUUUGCAUUGGACUUUGAACCGAUUUGUGUAGGAUAGGCGGGAGGCAGAGAAAGCGCAACGCCAGUUGUGCCGGAGCCGACGUUGAAAUACCGCCCUGAUUUGUUUGAGGUUCUAACCGCGACCCGUAAGCCGGGUCCGGGACCGUGCAUGGCAGGCAGUUUGACUGGGGCGGUCUCCUCCUAAAGGGUAACGGAGGAGUACAAAGGUACGCUAGGUACGGUCGGAAAUCGUGCUGAUAGUGCAAAGGCAAAAGCGUGCUUGACUGCGAGACCGACAAGUCGAGCAGAUGCGAAAGCAGGUCUUAGUGAUCCGGUGGCUCUGUAUGGAAGGGCCAUCGCUCAACGGAUAAAAGGUACUCUGGGGAUAACAGGCUGAUACCGCCCAAGAGUUCAUAUCGACGGCGGUGUUUGGCACCUCGAUGUCGGCUCAUCUCAUCCUGGGGCUGUAGCCGGUCCCAAGGGUAUGGCUGUUCGCCAUUUAAAGAGGUACGUGAGCUGGGUUUAAAACGUCGUGAGACAGUUUGGUCCCUAUCUGCCGUGGGCGCUGGAAGAUUGACGGGGGCUGCUCCUAGUACGAGAGGACCGGAGUGGACGCACCUCUGGUGUACCGGUUGUCACGCCAGUGGCAU